ACAGAGGGAGCGUACUGUCCCGAUGAGGAAUGUCAGAUUACCCUGACCACUGCACCCAAAUGUCCCAGGUGCCUCUCGUUUUUGUAAUGCUGCUCACAUCUGGUUGGCAAAGAGCUUUUGCGUGAUUUAGCUCAGUGGGAUCUGAGGAGUCUUUCUGAGAAAUGACGGGGGACAACAGUGUGAUGGGAAGACUAGCCUCUUUGUGUGGGUCACACUUGGAUGGAGAUCAACUGAUAUCUGGAGGAAAGCCAGAGGGAGUGACAGCUGCCGACAGGCUGUUAAUCGAAGGCUGGUUGAGGAUGGAAAGCUGCGGUGCCGCUGGCCAGCUGUGAACAGCUGGUCUCUCUAAAGGGAAACUUCUGCACCCCCCAGCAACACUCUGGGGCUUUCUAUGGGUGCAGCAGAAAAGACACAGCCUCUUUGUUGAGCUCAUCUACGGGUGUUUGGGGAGACAGUUGUUUAAGAGGGGCCUUGUUAGACCAGGCUCAUUGUCUCACUGUAAAUUAGUUAAAAUAUCUCCUGUGUCACUUAGCACAAGUCUGUUGACACAUUGUCUGACAAGGCCCCAGUUGUUGUUGGCCAAGAAUUAGUGCUCUUUAACAAGCUAUUUUUUAUUUAAAUCUAUCAGCGGGUUGUCUUGUUUAUUGUUGUGACACCUAAUAAAAAACUGAAUAUUUAUGGCUAA